GAUGAACGCUAGCGGCAGGCCUAACACAUGCAAGUCGAGGGGCAGCACAGAAACAGCAAUGUUUUGGUGGCGACCGGCGGACGGGUGCGUAACGCGUAUGCAACCUACCUUUAACAGGGGGAUAACGGAGAGAAAUUUCCACUAAUACCCCAUAACAUCGAUCAAGGCAUCGUGAUAGGUUGAAAACUCCGGUGGUUAAAGAUGGGGAUGCGUUGGAUUAGGUAGUUGGUGAGGUAAUGGCGCAACAAGCCUACGAUACAUAGGGGGACUGAGAGGUUAGCCCCCCACACUGGUACUGAGACACGGACCAGACUCCUACGGGAGGCAGCAGUGAGGAAUAUUGGUCAAUGGGGGCAACCCUGAACCAGCCAUGCCGCGUGCAGGAAGACGGCUCUAUGAGUUGUAAACUGCUUUUAAACAGGGAUAAAGCACAGUAUGUAUACUGUGUUGAAGGUACUGUAAGAAUAAGGAUCGGCUAACUCCGUGCCAGCCGCCGCCGUAA
rnacentral:rRNA from 1 species